AAAAAUAAUUCUGAAACAGGCUGGCACAAUUUGAGCUUGGUAUAGGAAGAAAGUCUAGCCUAUUCUGGUAUUCUCUCUUCCAUGAGACAUGCUGUUAUAACUCUUCCAUG
rnacentral:snoRNA from 1 species